GCAUAUCAAUAAGCGGAGGAAAAGAAAAUAACAAUGAUUCCCUCAGUAACGGCGAGCGAAGAGGGAUAAGCUCAAAUUUUAAAUCUGUUGGGUUCCACUUAACAGAGUUGUAUUUUGAAGAAACGUUUUCUGCAUCCUGGAUUAGCCUAAAUCCUUUGGGAUAAGGUAUCAUGGAGGGUGAGAAUCCCGUUCAUGGUUAAUCUUAAGGAAGCUCUACGAUACGUUUUCCAAGAGUCGAGUUGUUUGGGAUUGCAGCUCAAAAUGGGAGGUAAAUUUCUCCUAAGGCUAAAUAUUGGCGAGAGACCGAUAGCGAACAAGUACCGUGAGGGAAAGAUGAAAAGAACUUUGAAAAGAGAGUUAAACAGUACGUGAAAUUGUUGAAAGGGAAACGAUUGAAGUCAGUCAUACCAACGGGAAAUCAACCUUUUGAGCUCGGUCUCGUGGGUUUUGAAGAGUUUCAAAGCCUUCGGAUUCGCGGGAUUGGGAUCUCUUGGUGUACUUUUUCGUACGGUUAGUCAACAUCGGUUUUGAAUGUCAUAAAAUGACUGGAGGAAUGUAGCUUCGAUCUCGUAUUGAAGUGUUAUAGCCUUUGGUAGAUGUGAUGUUUGAGACCGAGGAUUGCAACGGAUACCCUUCAGGGCUAUUCGUCUGAUCUCUGAUACGUUGCCUUGAUGUUGAAAGCUUGCUUAUGAUGUUAGGGUAUUACGGUCAAAAGGUUAGAACGGAUUACAUUCGUUAAGGAUGUUGACGUAUGACUUUAAACGACCCGUCUUGAAACACGGACCA
rnacentral:rRNA from 1 species